CAUAGGUUUGGUCCCAGCCUUCCUAUUGACUACUAAUAGACUUACACAUGCAAGCAUCCGCACCCCAGUGAAGACGCCCUUUAAGUCCACCUGAACCAAAAGGAGCUGGUAUCAAGCACACAUUUGUAGCUUAUGACGCCUUGCUCAGCCACACCCCCACGGGAGACAGCAGUGAUAAAAAUUAAGCUAUGGACGAAAGUCUGACUAAGUCAUAUUGAUAAGGGUCGGUAAAUCUCGUGCCAGCCACCGCGGUCAUACGAUUGACCCUAGUUAAUAGGAAUACGGCGUAAAGAGUGUUAAAGCAUCACACUAAAUAGAGUUAAAUUAUAACUAAGCUGUAAAAAGCCACAGCUGUAAUAAAAAUAGACAACGAAAGUGACUCUACAACCGCUGAUCACACUACAGCUAAGACCCAAACUGGGAUUAGAUACCCCACUAUGCUUAGCCAUAAACACAGGUAAUUGUAUAAACAAAAUUAUUCGCCAGAGUACUACUAGCAACUGCUUAAAACUCAAAGGACUUGGCGGUGCUUUACACCCUUCUAGAGGAGCCUGUUCUAUAAUCGAUAAACCCCGAUAAACCUCACCAACCCUUGCUAAUACAGUCUAUAUACCGCCAUCUUCAGCAAACCCUAAAAAAGGAACAAGAGUAAGCAUAAUAAUAGCACAUAAAAACGUUAGGUCAAGGUGUAACCUAUGGGUUGGAAAGAAAUGGGCUACAUUUUCUAUUUCAAGAACACUCAACACGAAAGUUAUUAUGAAACUGAUGACUAAAGGAGGAUUUAGUAGUAAACUAAGAAUAGAGCGCUUAGUUGAAUUAGGCUAUGAAGCACGCACACACCGCCCGUCACCCUCCUCAAGUAAACACGAUACACCUAAACUUAUUCACACGUAUUAACCGUACAAGAGGAGAUAAGUCGUAACAAGGUAAGCAUACUGGAAAGUGUGCUUGGAUAAAU
rnacentral:ncRNA from 1 species